rnacentral:rRNA from 1 species
GGGGGAAUAUUGGACAAUGGGCGAAAGCCUGAUCCAGCCAUGCCGCGUGGGUGAAGAAGGUCUUCGGAUGGUAAAGCACUUUAAGUUGGGAGGAAGGGCAGUAAGCGAAUACCUUGCUGUUUUGACGUUACCGACAGAAUAAGAACCGGCUAACUCUGUGCCAGCAGCCGCGGUAAUACAGAGGGUGCAAGCGUUAAUCGGAAUUACUGGGCGUAAAGCGCGCGUAGGUGGUUCGUUAAGUUGAAUGUGAAAGCCCCGGGCUCAACCUGGGAACUGCAUCCAAAACUGGCGAGCUAGAGUAGGGCAGAGGGUGGUGGAAUUUCCUGUGUAGCGGUGAAAUGCGUAGAUAUAGGAAGGAACACCAGUGGCGAAGGCGACCACCUGGGCUCAUACUGACACUGAGGUGCGAAAGCGUGGGGAGCAAACAGG